GACGAACGCUGGCGGCGUGCUUAACACAUGCAAGUCGAACGGAAAGGCCCUGCUUGCAGGGUACUCGAGUGGCGAACGGGUGAGUAACACGUGGGUGAUCUGCCCUGCACUUCGGGAUAAGCCUGGGAAACUGGGUCUAAUACCGGAUAGGAGCCAUUUUUAGUGUGAUGGUUGGAAAGUUUUUUCGGUGUAGGAUGAGCUCGCGGCCUAUCAGCUUGUUGGUGGGGUAAUGGCCUACCAAGGCGGCGACGGGUAGCCGGCCUGAGAGGGUGGACGGCCACAUUGGGACUGAGAUACGGCCCAGACUCCUACGGGAGGCAGCAGUGGGGAAUAUUGCACAAUGGGCGCAAGCCUGAUGCAGCGACGCCGCGUGGGGGAUGACGGCCUUCGGGUUGUAAACUCCUUUCGCUAGGGACGAAGCUUUUUGUGACGGUACCUUGAUAAGAAGCACCGGCUAACUACGUG
rnacentral:rRNA from 1 species